GACCCAAGGCAAGGAAUGGGUUACCCUUACCCGCCCCGCCCGCCCGCCGCCCCGCCCGCAGAUCCAGCUCGAUGCCCUAACCGUGCCCACCGGAGUCUCGAUCCCCUCCCAGUGAGGCUCUGGCGCCCCCAAGGUUCUCCAUCUCCAGCUAUGGAGCACCCUAUAAUCCAGCAAGCUGUGGAGCAUCCCGAAGUGCGUGAGGAGGAGGGGGAGGAGGAGGAGGAGGAGGAGGAUGCCAGCAUGAGAGUGGAAGGGGCAUUCGGCGGGGUGCACAGUCACAGUACGUUCAGGUUCAAGCACAAGAAGAGGUCCAAGGUGUGGGAGGAGUACAAGCCAAUCUUCCUGAAUGGGAAGGUUCAGUUCGCAGAGUGCCUGUACUGCCGCAGCCGAAUGAGCUGCAAGGAUUCCAAUGGGACCAGCCAUCUGUGGCGGCAUCAGAAGAUCUGCCCAGGCAAGGAGGAUGUGGUGCGGCGGCGGCUGAAGGAUUCCUACUUCCCAUGUGUUUUGGUGAAUGAGAAUGAACCGGUUACACCAGGUGAUCCAGUAAAUCAGAUUAUUUCAGAGACACUUGAUGACAUAAACUCAGUGAUUCCUGGCAGAUUCAAGUCGAAGGUGUGGAAAGAGUUCUCACCUAUCUAUGUUGAGGGGAAGCUCCAGGCUGCAGACUGCGUGCAUUGUCACAAGCGCCUCAGUGCAAAUAAGUAUGGGGGAAGAAGCCAUCUUAGUCGGCAUCUUCAGACCUGUCAAGCACGGAGUCAGAAGGGUGUGUUUUACCCUUCUAGUUUACCUAGUUUGAAGUCCAGGGGGCAAGAUGAGCUCUCUCCUUCCUUGACAAAUGGGAAGAUUCAGACUGCAGAAUACAACAGCAAGCUCCUCAGGUCUGGUAGCUCUGGUGACAAUUCACCUAUAGUCCGGCCCAUUCAAGUGGUUCCAGCACAUCAACCUCUGCCAACGGCAGAUUUUCCAAGCCUGAAGAAACAGAGGACCUCAUUUAUGACUACAACUACUGACAUAGGCACAAGGAAGGUUGAUCAGGAAACUGCUUAUCAAGAGCUAGCCAGAAUGAUAGCUUUGCACGGUUAUCCUUUAUCAAUUGUAGAGCAUGAAGAAAUGAGAAGAUUUGUAAAGAACCUCAACCCUAUGGUUAACGCAGUCUCUCAUAAUGAUAUGGAAGGACAUUGCUGCGCUUUAUUUCAGAAGGAAAAGGCAAACCUUAAAAAUAAACUGGCCCUUUCCUCCCGGCGUGUCUCUCUUUCAGCAAGCAUCUGGACUCCUGAUGGAGCUGAGCCAGCAGUAAAUUACCUUUGUCUGACAGCACAUUUUAUUGAUAAAGACUGGAAAGUUAACAGAAUGGUAAUCAAAUUUGGCAUGUUUCAGUCCUCACCUGCCAAUGUGGAAAGGAUGAUACAUUGUAAGGAAGCCUGUGUCCCAGAGUCUGAAAGUGGAGCAUACAACGUCAUAUGGGAUGCUAUUAGAGAUUGGAAUCUUGAUCAGAAGCUUUUGAGCUUGACUUAUGUUGGCGAGGUUAGGGAUGAUACAAGCACCUCAAAGUUAAAGGAAACACUUGUAGAGAAGAAGUGCCUUCCUAUCAGAGGCAAGAUAUACGAUAUUGCUUGUGUGGAUGAUUUCCUUAACAAUAUUGUUUCUGAAGUGCAACAAAAUAUCAUUCACCUCGUCAGUGACAUGGUAACUGAGUUUUUUGGGGUACAUACAUCUUCAUCAUCGAAACAACACCAGCUUGUGGAAGUCAUUUCGCAGAUGAGUUUGAAGUGCCCACAGGAAGAUGCCAAGUGGUGGCACAAAUUUUAUUUUAGGCUUGAAGUUCUUUUGCAUUUCAAGAAAUCAUUUCCUUCUGAAGAAGUGGCGUCUCCAGAAGAUAUCGGAGUUGCUGAGUCUAUUUGCAAGAUUUUGAGGACGUUUUAUCGUGUUAUUGAAGUUAUUUCUAGUCCUAAUUGUCCAACAGCAAAUAUGUACUUCAAUGAGAUAUGGAAAGUGAGAACAGUUUUGCAAGAGGAAGCAUCAAAUGAGCAUGGAGAAAUUGCUACAAUGGUUACGGAGAUGCAGGAAAUGUUCAAUCGGUAUUGGCAAAAUUCGUACUUGUGGUUAUGUUUACCUGUUAUUCUAGAUCCUAGAUUCAAAAUCAGUUUCAUUGAGUUCCGUCUGAAACGAGCUUUUGGAUUAAAAUCAGCGAGCUACUUAUCUGCCAUACGCCAAACACUCCAGGAACUCUUCCAUGAAUACUGCAAUUCUGUGGAUCAGCCGAACGGAGGUGCUACAAAAAGCGAAGCCUUUGAUGCAGAUGAUAACGACUCCUUGGACGAUUGGGAUCAGCACCUCAAUGAGCAAGCAAGUAGUCAAAAAUCUACGGAACUUGACAACUACCUUGAGGAUGGGUUAGUUCCAAGGAAGGAUGAUUUCGAUAUUCUGAACUGGUGGAUGUGCCAUACCACAAAGUACCCAAGGCUUGCUGCUAUCGCACAGGACAUCCUGGCUAUGCCAGCAUCUGCUGUUCAAUCUGAAGCGGCAUUCACCAGCAGCGGACCAGUGAUUCCCAAGCACCACAGUACGUUAAGCAUCAAGACAAUCGAGGCACUUGUUUGUACUCGUGAUUGGAUGAGAUAAGGCAGUAAGAUCCUCCUAUCCUUUGCUUAAUCCUCUUGUAUGUAUCAAUAGAGUUGAGACACUUCUAUUCGUUACCUAGAGUCAUUGUAUCCCAGGGUAUGUGCCAUGCCGCAGUGAACUGUGAAGUGUGAACAACUAGGACGUGGUGCAGUUUUGGUCAGGGGAUGAUCCGAACAAGUCUAUGACAUGUCUGCAGCGCCUUCUAAAGGUAACCCUGCCGGUGAUCCAGUCCCCUGCUUAGGUUGGUGGUGAACCAGAGUACCAGACAUGCUAGCUCUUGCUGACUUGUUUGCCAAUUAGAUGUGUAUAUAUCAGCCCGUGCCAUUUGCUUGUUGUAGUUGCAGAUGUUUUUUUCAUGCCUCUAAUGUAAUGUCGCAGACAUGCUUUGUUGAUGAACCCUAGUUCCUUACGGAGCAGUCCUAGGUUGAUGAAAGAAGAUGCUGUUGUCA